rnacentral:lncRNA from 1 species
GUGGGAAUCAAUGGCGCCAAACACACAAUGUACUACAAUACUAUUUUAGGAGGCAGAAGAAAGGAUUGGAAGAAAAAAUUAUUGGCAUUUGAACCAGAAAAUCUGGUCAGGGAACACAGAAGUUCUUUGUUAAUAGUUCUAUAACCUUGAACAAGUUAUUUUGCCUUUCUGAUCCUGGGUCUUCGGCUAUGAAACGCUGCCAAAAAUGACUGCUCUGUGUCUUUGUGUCAAAGACUGAAAGCGUCACAUCAGUGAAAAUUCGGAUAGACACACUGCCGCAUAUAAAUCCGGUGCUUUAUGAUCUCACACUGCACGGAUUUGGAAACUACUGCAUGUGCACGAUUCUCAGCCUAGUUCCCUGCAGGUGAGGGAUUUUUUUUUUUUUCCAGAAAGAAAACUGUUAGCUCUGCCCUGAAGAUGAGUCCCACAGAGGUUUUGCAGGGUGGAGUUACCGAGAAAUUGACUUCGGGGUGAGUAAAACUAAGAUCCGGGGAAGGCUGCAGCCACUUUUCCAGGGUAAGGGGCGGUGUCAUUUGCUUCCUCAUGCGGCAACGACGAAAGUGAUUAUAAGCCACAGAACGUGGCGCCAGGGUUCACUAGUAUAAACCAUUUCAGGAGACGAAGCUCCGACCUCCCAGGCACCAAGAUCUUUACCAACAACCCGGGAUGCUCACUGCAGGAGGGAGCGGCUCACGAGAGCCGCAGCGCUGCGCCGUUUGGAGAGGGGUCAUCCGCCCCGGAACCGACGUGAGCGCGGGGCCGGCCCGUGGAGGCGGCUGAGGGAUCCCCCACUUCCAGCCCGCCCGCUCGGAGCCGAACCCCGAACUCCGUCCCACUGAUCCGCG